rnacentral:rRNA from 1 species
GACGAACGCUGGCGGCGUGCUUAACACAUGCAAGUCGAACGGAAAGGCCCUGCUUUUGUGGGGUGCUCGAGUGGCGAACGGGUGAGUAACACGUGAGUAACCUGCCCUUGACUUUGGGAUAACUUCAGGAAACUGGGGCUAAUACCGGAUAGGAGCUCCUGCUGCAUGGUGGGGGUUGGAAAGUUUCGGCGGUUGGGGAUGGACUCGCGGCUUAUCAGCUUGUUGGUGGGGUAGUGGCUUACCAAGGCUUUGACGGGUAGCCGGCCUGAGAGGGUGACCGGCCAAAUUGGGACUGAGAUACGGCCCAGACCCCUACGGGGGGCAGCAGGGGGGAAUAUUGCAAAAUGGGCGGAAGCCUGAUGCAGCAACGCCGCGUGCGGGAUGACGGCCUUCGGGUUGUAAACCGCUUUCGCCUGUGACGAAGCGUGGGUGACGGUAAUGGGUAAAGAAGCACCGGCUAACUACGU